rnacentral:rRNA from 1 species
GAUGAACGCUGGCGGCGUGCCUAAUACAUGCCAGUCGAGCGAACGGACGAGAAGCUUGCUUCUCUGAUGUUAGCGGCGGACGGGUGAGUAACACGUGGAUAACCUACCUAUAAGACUGGGAUAACUUCGGGAAACCGGAGCUAAUACCGGAUGAUAUUUUGAACUGCAUGGUUCAAAAGUGAAAGACGGGCUUGCUGUCACUUAUAGAUGGAUCCGCGCUGCAUUAGCUAGAUGGUAAGGUAGCGGCUUACCAAGGCAACGAUGCUUAGCCGACCUGAGAGGGUGAUGCGUCACACUGUAACUGAGACACGGUCCGGACUCCUACGGGAGGCGGCAUUAGGGAAUUUUACGUAAUGGGCCAAAGCCUGACGGAGCAACGCCGCGUGAGUGAUGAAGGUCUUCGGAUCGUAAAACUCUGUUAUUAGGGAAGACCAUAUGUGUAAGUACCUGUGCACAUCUUGACGGUACCUAAUCAGAAAGCCACGGCUAACUCCGUG